rnacentral:rRNA from 1 species
AGUGAACGCUGGCGGUAGGCCUAACACAUGCAAGUCGAACGGCAGCACAGUAAGAGCUUGCUCUUACGGGUGGCGAGUGGCGGACGGGUGAGGAAUACAUCGGAAUCUACUUUUUCGUGGGGGAUAACGUAGGGAAACUUACGCUAAUACCGCAUACGACCUACGGGUGAAAGCAGGGGAUCUUCGGACCUUGCGCGAUUGAAUGAGCCGAUGUCGGAUUAGCUAGUUGGCGGGGUAAAGGCCCACCAAGGCGACGAUCCGAAGCUGGUCUGAGAGGAUGAUCAGCCACACUGGAACGGAGACACGGUCCAGACUCCUACGGGAGGCAGCAGUGGGGAAUAUUGGACAAUGGGCGCAAGCCUGAUCCAGCAAUACCGCGUGGGUGAAGAAGGCCUUCGGGUUGUAAAGCCCUUUUGUUGGGAAAGAAAAGCAGCAGGUUAAUACCCCGCUGUUCUGACGGUACCCAAAGAAUAAGCACCGGCUAACUUCGUG